rnacentral:lncRNA from 1 species
GUUUUGCUCUUUUUUCUGUAUUCUUUUUAUUUUUUGGCUUGAUAUUUGCUAUUCUUUUUAUCAUUAGGCUCUUUUUCUCUAUUCUUUUUAUUAUUAGGCUCUUUUUCUCUAUUCUUUUAGUUUUUGGCUCAUUUUUCAUUAUGUACCUUUAAAAAUUUAUGGGUCCAUUAUUCAUUUUCAUUUGCCCAUGCAUUAUUUUCUAUUUUGUAAACCCCAACCAAGCCCUCCUUUGACUUAAUUAAGACAAAAGACUCAGGCCAAACUUAAAUAAAUGAUAAAAAAAAUGUUAACAAAACUAUUAGCAGGCUUUUUAAUCAUACAUGUACAAAAAUGUAGCACUAGCUCAAAUUAAUUAAGACUCAAUCUUGUAAAUUGAGUGAUUGAUUGGUGUUUAACGUCUUUUUAGACACUAUUUUCAAUUUGCUAUUUCGUUGCGGCAGUUUUUAUUGGUGGAGGAAGCC